rnacentral:rRNA from 1 species
UACGGGGGGGGUAAGCGUUGUUCGGAAUUACUGGGCGUAAAGGGCGCGUAGGCGGUCUGUUAAGUCGGAUGUGAAAACUCUGGGCUCAACCCAGAGCCUGCAUCCGAAACUGGCAGGCUAGAGUUCUGGAGGGGGUAGCGGAAUUCCUGGUGUAGCGGUGAAAUGCGUAGAUAUCAGGAAGAACACCAAUGGCGAAGGCAGCUCUCUGGGACGGUACUGACGCUGAGACGCGAAAGCGUGGGGAGCGAACAGG